rnacentral:rRNA from 1 species
AGUGAACGCUGGCGGUAGGCCUAACACAUGCCAGUCGAACGGCAGCACAGUAAGAGCUUGCUCUUACGGGUGGCGAGUGGCGGACGGGUGAGGAAUACAUCGGAAUCUACUUUUUCGUGGGGGAUAACGUAGGGAAACUUACGCUAAUACCGCAUACGACCUACGGGUGAAAGCUGGGGAUCUUCGGACCUUGCGCGAUUGAAUGAGCCGAUGUCGGAUUAGCUAGUUGGCGGGGUAAAGGCCCACCAAGGCGACGAUCCGUAGCUGGUCUGAGAGGAUGAUCAGCCACACUGGAACUGAGACACGGUCCAGACUCCUACGGGAGGCAGCAGUGGGGAAUAUUGGACAAUGGGCGCAAGCCUGAUCCAGCCAUACCGCGUGGGUGAAGAAGGCCUUCGGGUUGUAAAGCCCUUUUGUUGGGAAAGAAAAGCAGCAGGUUAAUACCCCGCUGUUCUGACGGUACCCAAAGAAUAAGCACCGGCUAACUUCGUG